UCAAGGCGCAGGUGGCACAAUCUUUUCCAGGUGACUCUGCUCAGGCCUCUCCAGCGCCGGGCUCGGGGCGUGCAGGGGCGGCCGGAGCGGGUCCCGGGGCUGGCGGUCCCGUCCCGUCCCGUCCCCGCUGACGGGCUCGUUUCGGCGCUGCCUUCCCCCCGCUGCUGCUCAGCCGGUGCCCCGCGGGCCGGCCCUUGCCAAAGCCCGGCGGGUUUGGAGCCUUUGCGAGUGCCGUGAGAGGAUGCCGGGACCGUGACUCGCAGAAUAUUGGAAAUUGACAUAUAUGAGAACUGAACAUUUUAGAGGGCAUGGUCUUGGUGUCUAAAAGCAAUGACCUCCUGAAGUACAGAGAGUCAAGAUGAAAAUGGACCUGUUUAUGAUGAUUUCCCUCUUCUUUUUGGGUAA